rnacentral:rRNA from 1 species
GAUGAACGCUGGCGGCGUGCCUAAUACAUGCAAGUCGAGCGAACAGACGAGGAGCUUGCUCCUCUGACGUUAGCGGCGGACGGGUGAGUAACACGUGGAUAACCUACCUAUAAGACUGGGAUAACUUCGGGAAACCGGAGCUAAUACCGGAUAAUAUAUUGAACCGCAUGGUUCAAUAGUGAAAGACGGUUUUGCUGUCACUUAUAGAUGGAUCCGCGCCGCAUUAGCUAGUUGGUAAGGUAACGGCUUACCAAGGCAACGAUGCGUAGCCGACCUGAGAGGGGGAUCGGCCACACUGGAACUGAGACACGGUCCAGACUCCUACGGGAGGCAGCAGUAGGGAAUCUUCCGCAAUGGGCGAAAGCCUGACGGAGCAACGCCGCGUGAGUGAUGAAGGUCUUCGGAUCGUAAAACUCUUUUAUUAGGGAAGAACAAAUGUGUAAGUAACUAUGCACGCCUUGACGGUACCUAAUCAGAAAGCCACGGCUAAUUACGUG